rnacentral:rRNA from 1 species
CCUACGGGUGGUAGCAGUGGGGAAUAUUGCGCAAUGGGCGAAAGCCUGACGCAGCGACGCCGCGUGAGGGAUGAAGGUCUUCGGAUCGUAAACCUCUGUCCGCAGGGAAGAACGGUCACUGUGCUAAUCAGCCGUGAAUUGACGGUACCUGCAAAGGAAGCACCGGCUAACUCCGUGCCAGCAGCCGCGGUAAUACGGAGGGUGCGUGCGUUAAUCGGAAUUACUGGGCGUAAAGCGCUCGUAGGCGGUAGGUCAAGUCAAGGGUGAAAUCCCCGCGCGCAACGUGGGAACUGCCGUUGAAACUGGCAAACGGGAGGGGGAGAGAGGAAAGUGGAAUUCCAGGUGUAGGGGUGAAAGCCAGAGAUAUCAGGAGGAACAGCAGUUGCGAAGGCGACAAUCUGGCACAUAACUGACGCUGAGGAGCGAAAGCGUGGGUAGCAAACAGGAUUAGAUACCCCAGUAGUC